UUGGAUAAAUUUCCUUGGAUUUUGUGUUUCCGACCAGAUAAUGCGGAAUCAUCAUUUUAAGGGUUAUUCUCCGUCCAAUUUCAUUGAUGUUGCCUUCUUCUCGCUGAUUCACCUCUAUCUCUUCUUCUUCAUAAGGAACGCUUAUUAGGCUUAAGAUGAUUUGGGAACUUUUUUUAAAAGUUUUGUUCGAGCAACAUCUGAUUUUAUACACUUAAAUUCAUCAAUCUGGCUACAAAUUUAUGGAAUAGGGAAGGUAUGUUAAAGGGCAUGUAAUGGGAUUGCUUUAUAUGAAGACUCAUUGUUGUUGGUGGGAUUUGAAAGUAAAGGAAUAGAGGAGUAGGAAGUAGAGCACUGAGGAUUGAUAAAGACUGUAUGAAGUUGCAAGACACCAAUGGUCCAGAAAAAGGACGAGAAAAUAGCACAGAUAUCCAACAACUUCAAAAGGAAUAGAGAUGUAAGGGCAUGUACCUGAGCCAAGGAUGUAGCUUAAUUUUUUUUAUUUUCUUAUUCCCUGUUAAUUGGCAUCCGCCGACACAAUGUGUAUUCAACAAUAAAUUAUAGUUGUUUGUCUUAUUGGGAAUUCUCAUUCUCCCA